rnacentral:rRNA from 1 species
GACAAACGCUGGCGGCGAGCCUAAUGAAUGCGAUUCGAACGGACUAUCGUAAUCGUAACUGCUUUUGGGCCGUUACACUCUCCGUAGUUAGUGGCAAACGCGUGUGCAACACUUGGGUAACGUGCCUUCAUUACGAGGAUAACUGGGGCGAAAGUCCUGCUCAUACUCGAUGGACUGCCCCCGCUAUGGCGGGGACCACUAAAUGCUCCGGCGCCUGGAGAUCGGUCCGCGCGCCUUUAUCUUGCUGGUGAGGUAACGGCUCACCAAGGCUACAAUGGGUAGCUGGUCUGAGAGGACGAUCAGCCUCACUGGUGACUGAGACAUGGUUCCUGACUCCUACGGGGAGUUAGCAUCCGGGAAUCCUCGUACCAUUGCGCCCAUGCCUGAAUGCAAACUACCCCGCGAUGGCUAGAUUGAAUGAUCUGCAUGAUCAAUAAAUACCUUGUUAAGGAGGGUAAAGACACCCCAAAAUGUUGACCUCCCUGAAGAGAAGGCCCCCGGUCUUAACUUCUCUGCCCAGUCAUGCCGUCCGCUUUUAAAAGGGGCUAAAUUUUAUCCGUACUCGACUAAAAUUCCAAAUGUCGACACACGAACAGUAGGAAGAACAGUUAGAUCUGCCAUUUUUCCACGUGGGGCUCGGCCCGGCUUUGUUUUCCACCUGCUCCCUAUGAAUCUGGGUCCAUAAACACCCCCUGUGACGCUUUAACCACACAAGUUUAUACUCCCCCCUUUGUCAAAGCAAACAUUCCCUCCUCUUUAUUCACUCACACCUUGUGCCGUCCAAUUACAUCUCAAAAUAUAUCUUCGACCAAUCAAAGAUUAUCCCCCCUAUUCUCCUAAAUAGGUCUUGUCUUGCAAGCACCAUAUUAGCGAUAAACGUGAUAACAUGUAGAAAGGAUCAAGCACCCCUAUAUACUAGUGAAAAAAAAGUGCCACUUCUCCUCGCUCCCGUGUUCUUUAUUGUUAUUGUUCUCUCCGAGUAUGGAACACUUCUUACUGUGUCCCCGCCCGGCUAGGAUUCAAACU